ACGAAGGCAUCCGAACGGGAUUAAAGAUUUAUCGGUGAUGGAUGGGGAUGCGUCUGAUUAGCUUGUUGGCGGGGUAACGGCCCACCAAGGCAACGAUCAGUAGGGGUUCUGAGAGGAAGGUCCCCCACAUUGGAACUGAGACACGGUCCAAACUCCUACGGGAGGCAGCAGUGAGGAAUAUUGGUCAAUGGGCGAGAGCCUGAACCAGCCAAGUAGCGUGCAGGACGGCGGCCCUAUGGGUUGUAAACUGCUUUUUAUAAGGGAAUAAAGUGAGUCUCGUGAGACUUUUUGCAUGUACCUUAUGAAUAAGGACCGGCUAAUUCCGUG
rnacentral:rRNA from 1 species